rnacentral:pre_miRNA from 1 species
UCUUAUGGAUGAACAAAGAAAGCAGUUUCCUGGGAAGGAAUCUACUCUUGGUAAAAAUGCUGUGAA